UACACUCCUGCGGGAGGCAGCAGUGGGGAAUAUUGGACAAUGGGCGCAAGCCUGAUCCAGCCAUGCCGCGUGAGUGAUGAAGGCCCUAGGGUUGUAAAGCUCUUUCACCGGUGAAGAUAAUGACGGUAACCGGAGAAGAAGCCCCGGCUAACUUCGUGCCAGCAGCCGCGGUAAUACGAAGGGGGCUAGCGUUGUUCGGAUUUACUGGGCGUAAAGCGCACGUAGGCGGACUAUUAAGUCAGGGGUGAAAUCCCGGGGCUCAACCCCGGAACUGCCUUUGAUACUGGUAGUCUUGAGUUCGAGAGAGGUGAGUGGAAUUCCGAGUGUAGAGGUGAAAUUCGUAGAUAUUCGGAGGAACACCAGUGGCGAAGGCGGCUCACUGGCUCGAUACUGACGCUGAGGUGCGAAAGCGUGGGGAGCAAACAGGAUUAGAAACCCUGGUAGUCCC
rnacentral:rRNA from 1 species